AUGGAAGCUAUUGUGAAGGCAAGAAAAGAAGCCAACGAGGUGAGGAAAAUGGCAAGGAACCAAGAUGCCGCGGCCGAGGAGAGGAGGUUGGCGGCCGAGGAGAGGAGGGUGGCGGCCGAGGAGAGGAAGGUGGCUUUGGAGGAGAGGAAGGUGAGCAAUAAGGAGCGAACAAGAUUGUUGGAAUGGGAGAAGCACUUGUUCUUCUUGGACACAUCUAACCUCAAUGAGGCGCAAAAGGAGUUUGUCAAUCUUUCAUGUGAAGAAGUCUUGAUCCAAAAAAGAGCCAUGGUUCGUGCAAUGGGGGGCGGUGGCCUCGGCGCCAUGGGUGGCGGUGGCCUCGGCGCAAUGGGUGGCGGUGGCCUCGGCGCCAUGGGUGGCAUGGGUGGCCUCGAAAGUUCCGUGGGCGGUUUAGGUGUCAUGGGAGGCAUGGGUGGCUUUGGAGCACCCCCUGACGCUAUGGCCGUCAUGGGAGGCAUGAGUUUUGCUUCUCUCAUGGGAGGCAUGGGUGCACCUCCGGCCGCCAUGGGCGGAAUGUCUUUCGAUGUGCCUCCUCACACACAUUCGCAUGAAGGUACCGUUGAAGAUCUUGCCAACACCGUCGAAGCUUCACGUGAUGCGGUGCGCGAUGAGGAGAGGGAGGAAGUAUCAUCUUCGGAGGAGGUAGAAUCGUCUUCCGAAGAUGAGGACGAAAACGAGGAGGAGGAUUGA
rnacentral:rRNA from 1 species